rnacentral:rRNA from 1 species
GACGAACGCUGGCGGCGUGCUUAACACAUGCAAGUCGAACGAUGAAACCUAGCUUGCUAGGUCGAUUAGUGGCGAACGGGUGAGUAACACGUGACUAACCUGCCCCUUUCUCUGGGAUAACGCUCCGAAAGGAGUGCUAAUACCGGAUACUCACAUCGAGGCACAUGCCUUGAUGUGGAAAGUUUUUCGGAAAGGGAUGGAGUCGCGGCCUAUCAGCUUGUUGGUGAGGUAACGGCUCACCAAGGCGACGACGGGUAGCCGGCCUGAGAGGGCGACCGGCCACACUGGGACUGAGACACGGCCCAGACUCCUACGGGAGGCAGCAGUGGGGAAUAUUGCACAAUGGGCGCAAGCCUGAUGCAGCGACGCCGCGUGAGGGAUGAAGGUCUUCGGAUUGUAAACCUCUUUCAGUAGGGACGAAGCGAAAGUGACGGUACCUAAAGAAGAAGCACCGGCUAACUACGUGCCAGCAGCCGCCGCAG